UACGGAGGGGGCCAGCGUUGUUCGGAAUCAUUGGGCGUAAAGGGCGCGUAGGCGGCUUGGUAAGUCCGUUGUGAAAUCCCUCGGCUCAACCGAGGAACUGCGACGGAUACUGCUUGGCUUAAGUCCCGGAGAGGGUAGCGGAAUUCCCAGUGUAGCGGUGAAAUGCGUAGAUAUUGGGAGGAACAUCGGUGGCGAAGGCGGCUACCUGGACGGGUACUGACGCUGAUGCGCGAAAGCUAGGGGAGCAAACAGG
rnacentral:rRNA from 1 species